rnacentral:lncRNA from 1 species
CAACUGCGCCCCUCGAGGACCCCCGCAGCCCCCGUGGUUCGACCCUUGAGGCUCUCUGGCAGGCGGAGGAAGGGUGGGGGUGCGAUGGCAGGGUCGGAGGUGGAACAAAUUGUCGGAGCCCCCCAGGACGCGAUAGAGGAGGUCAUAGAGAAACGCGGACGGAGCUCGCCGGCGAUGGUGACCUUUCCGGAUGCCUUUCGCCGAAAAGUCGAGAGCUUUCCCCCACCACUCAAGCUGGAAGUCGAAGAAACCGCGGAA